rnacentral:rRNA from 1 species
AUACGGAGGAUCCGAGCGUUAUCCGGAUUUAUUGGGUUUAAAGGGUGCGCAGGCGGCCAUUUAAGUCAGCGGUUAAAUCGUGGGGCUCAACCCCAUUCUGCCGUUGAUACUGGGUGGCUUGAUUGCGGUCGAGGUUGGCGGAAUUCGUUGUGUAGCGGUGAAAUGCAUAGAUAUGACGAAGAACACCGAUUGCGUAGGCAGCUGACCAGACCGCAAAUGACGCUCAUGCACGAAAGUGCGGGGAUCGAACAGGAUUAGAUUCCCUGGUAGUCCGCACAGUAACCGAUGAAUACUUGUUUUCGGCGAUAUAAUGUCGGAGGCAAAGCGAAAGCGAUAAGUAUUCCACCUGGGGAGUACUCCGGCAACGGUGAAACUCAAAGGAAUUGACGGGG